AACGAACGCUGGCGGCAUGCCUAACACAUGCCAGUCGAACGAGACCUUCGGGUCUAGUGGCGCACGGGUGCGUAACGCGUGGGAACCUGCCCUUAGGUUCGGAAUAACUCCCCGAAAGGGGGGCUAAUACCGGAUAAUGUCCUCGGACCAAAGAUUUAUCGCCUUUGGAUGGGCACGCGUUGGAUUAGCUAGUUGGUAGGGUAAAAGCCUACCAAGGCGACGAUCCAUAGCUGGUCUGAGAGGAUGAUCAGCCACACUGGGACUGAGACACGGCCCAGACUCCUACGGGAGGCAGCAGUGGGGAAUAUUGGACAAUGGGCGAAAGCCUGAUCCAGCAAUGCCGCGUGAGUGAUGAAGGCCUUAGGGUUGUAAAGCUCUUUUACCCGGGAUGAUAAUGACAGUACCGGGGGAAUAAGCUCCGGCUAACUCCGUG
rnacentral:rRNA from 1 species